rnacentral:rRNA from 1 species
UAAUACGUAGGGGGCAAGCGUUAUCCGGAUUUACUGGGUGUAAAGGGAGCGUAGGUGGCAAAUCAAGUCAGAUGUGAAAGCCCGGGGCUCAACCCCGGGAUUGCAUUUGAAACUGGUAUGCUAGAGUGCAGGAGAGGUAAGUGGAAUUCCUAGUGUAGCGGUGAAAUGCGUAGAUAUUAGGAGGAACACCAGUGGCGAAGGCGGCUUACUGGACUGUAACUGACACUGAGGCUCGAAAGCGUGGGGAGCAAACAGG